AAUUAAAGCUGUCAGCGAGCGCGGCGUACAACUGCGAAUGCAGAUAGCGCCUUUUGCCAAGUGAAUUCACAGGAAACGAAUUAUCAUGUUCACCCGGCUUCGCGCGCUCCGCCCGAUGACGUGCCUAUUAACAUCCGCGGUUGCGUGUAUACGCUGGACACAGACCUUUCUUAUCCGGCCAACACGGAUCUCUCUAUUUUUAUUUGGCCCUCUAACGUUUGCUGUUUUGAAACGCCACACGUUCAACGGUGCAAUGCUGAUACGAUAUAUAUUGGAAAAUUCCUGAAAAAGAAGCUCUUGGUGCUCCAACCGGAUUGGAAGAACGAAUAACUCGUGGCUUACGACAUCGUUUAAUCUGGCGGAUCCGUUUUUAAGAAUCAUCGUUUAACGUUGUAUCUUCGGGCGCGUUUCCGCGGGCGAUUUUCCGAGUUCAAGGACAACGAUUUUUUCAAAAGACGCGAUGGGAAAACGCUUCGUUGCUGGAAUAAUCCUACGACAAAGGAACGGGAUACGGUGUGAGAAUAGAUAGCAGAAGGACAAACCGAAAAGGACUGAGCAGACUUUUGGAAAAAAGGGCAGGCAAAUACGGAGGCGGCGUUCUUUUCUAAUCUAUUGACAUAAAAGACUAAUGACAGAACCUUCCUAGAAGUACAAGCUAUCACUUUGGAAAUUCAAAGGAGGAAUUCACGUUACUGGACCACCACGAGACACACGGUUGUAAAUUAUUGGCAGAAAAAGGAGUGUUGUUUUAGGUUCGAAUUUUGCUAGACCAAGACUUUCUAUUCGAGAUAAGAAGUCCUUGCUACGGUCGUCGAAGCUACUCCCUGAUUUCUUUUGUGAAGGCAGAAAGGAAGGAUCGUCAAAGAAACGACCAAUCUUCGAGAAACGGGACUUUUUCAGGAUGAGAGUUGGGUGAUCGAUGGAACCUUGUAGAGACAUGAAUUGUUCUUUGAAGCGCUGCAGGCAGAGAUCUUCCGCCUUUGGAACAACAGUUCGAAGAAUUCUUCGAACAAUAAGUUCGUUCGUCGUUUUGAAAGUAUACAGACUUAAAAAUACCGGUCGAAAGCAUCAUAAUCAAGAAUCUGAUCCUAAUUUCAUAAGAUACUGCGCAACAUUCGAAAACAACAGAACUCUUUCAUAAUAUCUGAACGCGCGUUCUCCCAUCAACAGGUUUCUCCCAUCGCGGCGAGUUCACGAGCAUCAUCGCUGGUACCUCGAAUCCCCUUCGAUCCCGGUGCAACAUCUGCUCGAUCAUGAGUACAUAAAGGCAAGAAACCGUGAGAAAAGACCGAAUCGCGCGCGAACACGGGACUGCUACGCGGCAAUUAAGAGAUCGGCGAUCGAUCGGGGAAUCCACCGUUUCCCGGAAACGGCGCACGGAGGAAAACGUCGGCUGGGAAUGGAGGUUUGAGGCCGAUCCACGAGGAACGCGUUCCUCCGGUCGGCCACGGUCGACGGAGGAAACGAGCCUCUGCCCGGAAUACACGUUUCACCACUUAAUUAUCGUUCAUCGCUUAAUUAUUUUCCUCUCAUUGUCGGCCUGGCACCGCGCCGGGCAUGAUAAUCAGCCGCGAUUCCGACGCGGAAAUUGCGGAAAGAAGCAGGAAGCUACGUCUUCUUUCCUCUGUUUUUUUCCUAUCCUUUUUCUUUCUUUUUCUCCUUUUCCCUCUCUCUCUCUCCCUCUCUGGCUUUCUCUGUCUCUUUCUCUCUGCCUUUCGCUUCUGCAACGGCGUACGUGUAAUACCGUUAGCCGUUGACAAGCCGAUGCAUCCUGGCCGCGAAUCACCUGAGGAAAGGAAGAAAACAGAAGAGAAGAAGCGACUGGACGAACGCAGACGAGAAACAAAGAAGGGAAUACGGAGGUAACUGGUAAUAUCGCCGCGAAUAAUAGCAUUCUCGUUACGUCACAUCCUGUAAACAACGUUUACGAUUUGACGAUUCGGUGGAAACGCCGGGAAUAAUCGUAAUUUGCGGUGGCCACUGGUAACGCUUCAGUGAUACACAUUUUCCUACAUCCUGUUGCUCCGACAUCCCGUUUCGAACCAAGGAACGCAGGGAAUCAAGGAACGAGGUGUUAUGGAAAAUCUGAUUGCACGUAUUGGACGAAACACUCGAAACGUGUUGGUGAACUUCAGUAUACUCGUUUGGAAAAAUUUCUGUAGCCUGCUGAACAUGAAAUUUUUAAAGUUAGCACAGUUAUUUUGUACUUUAAUCGUUCUACCAUGAUAUUUUAUGCAUCUUGGUUAAUAACGGGUACAACAAACUUCGAAAGUUCUUCUUUUCUACAGCAUCGAUUAAUUUUCAACGUGUAACGUUGCUUUUGUUUCCCUAAAAAAAUCAUGUUUGUAUUCAAUUCCUCUUAAAGAACAACCAACUAAAAUUUCGUGGCAGCUUUUUCGUUAAAAGUUUCUUACAACGGCUAUCCGUCUCGACCGGCCAAAAGUUGUUCGAUCUUUCCACAAUUUCCAUCCCAGAGAAAAAGGGAAAAGAAUUCGCGCCGUGAAUGAUUUAUGCUAGCUCGAUAGUCCUCGAGUUCAAUCUCGAGAUCUGACAGCAAGGCAAACAAAAUUUUUGCAGGGAGGAGAAUUCAAUGUGACGGUCGUGCGUUCUGGGGCGGGAAAGUUAAGUAAAAUAGUUGUUUGCAUCGUUGAACUAAGGCUAAGCUACGAUGUGACAGAUUAUGCACGUAGGGUCUCGGAGCUGAUCAGAAACCACAACAUUUCUUUUUUAUUAUUAUUUAAUUUGUACUUUACAAUUUGUCCAGCCAAACAUU